rnacentral:rRNA from 1 species
UACGAAGGGUGCGAGCGUUGUUCGGAAUUAUUGGGCGUAAAGGGUUCGUAGGCGGGAGCACAAGUCAAGUGUGAAAACCCUGGGCUUAACCUGGGGCGUGCAUUUGAGACUGUGUUUCUUGAGUGACGGAGAGGGUACUGGAAUUGCUGGUGUAGGAGUGACAUCCGUAGAGAUCAGCAGGAACACCGGAGGCGAAGGCGAGUGCCUGGCCGUAUACUGACGCUGAGGAACGAAAGCGUGGGGAGCAAACAGG